rnacentral:tmRNA from 1 species
GGGGGCGAAAUGGGUUCGACGGGGGUAAGAGAGAUAAGGGUUGCAUGCCGAGGUCCCAACCCUCGAAAAAAAAUGGGAACUACUAUAACUGCCAACUAUGACUACGCUUUAGCCGCCUAACGUGCGGUUAACGCUCUCCCGAUCUCGCCUGCAGGCUUGGGAAGGGCGUCAGAAAUGCGGGCUUAGUCCCCUCUGAUGCUUAUAAGGAGGGGGUGAAUUCGCAUAAGCUAGCCCGUGGGGAUCCUGCCUGGAGGAGCUCCACGGCGCGAAACUAAAAUCCGGGAUACGCAUGUAGAUACCCUUAUGGAUCUACUUUCGGACGCGGGUUCGAUUCCCGCCGCCUCCACCA